rnacentral:lncRNA from 1 species
GUGCAGUGGUGUGAUCUCGGCUCACUGUGACCUCUGCCUCCUGGGUUUAAGCGAUUCUCCUGCCUCAGCCUCCCGAGUAACUGGGACUACAGCUGCAGGAAACAGAAAAUGCACUGCCUAGAUGGACCCUCUGACUCCCCACCACCCAGGCUGGAGCGGCAGAGGCUGCCAGGAAGAGCCAGAAAACAGGUGAACCCAAGGCCACUCCCUCCCCAGCCUGAGGAACACUCUACUGGUAAGGGGAGAAAUGCCUCAAAUGAGCAUGUGCACAACUUCAGUAAACAUGCUGUGCAUGUGGCCCCUCCCAAGUGCCCGCAGGCCACCACACAAGUGGACAGCCCUGGACAGCCCGCCCCUAGGGAAGAAUCAAGGGAGGAGAAACAGAAGCCCUGGAACUGUGCUAGCAUAUAAAACCCCAAGUCAAGGGCUGAAUGGCACACUUGGAUCUCUCAAGUCACCUGCUUGGCCCCCUUCCAAGUGUAUUUACUUCCAUUUGUUCCUGCUCUAAAACUUUUUAAUAAACUUUCACUCCUGCUCU